CACGCUCUUAAAAAAAAAAAAAGGAAGACUAGAGACUUAAAUUCAGGUUUUACUUUUUAUUAAAAAUCUAGGUUUUUGAAGGCCUGGCUCUGAAACUGCAGCAUGUGGUAGGCGGCUAACAGGAGGCCUCUAACUGCACAUCCCCGAGCCUCCCGCCAGGCGUCCCGCAUCCGCAGCUCUCCUAGGAUCAUCCAGACAGAACCAUCUGUCGUGCGGGUGUGGGGAUGCCCAGGAGAGCCUGUUGAUGGGGGACUUGGCUCAGGUGAUCGCGGAGGCCAGGAGACUCCAGAGUCCACUCGGCAAGCGGCAGAACCGGGAAGAGCGCUGACCUCACCUGAGAUGAAGGCCUGGGAGUCGAAGGACGGAGCGCCAAGUCCGCGGACGGCCGCAGAUCCAGGAACCAGGGGCUGGCGUCCGGAGCAAGAGAGGAUGGACGUUCUACGCAGCCUCGUCCACCGUUUCCGCUCUCCUCGGAUCCUCAGUGGCCUCGUGACAUCCAGCAGCCUCGGGGAGCGCAGUCUUGCCCCGUGUCCCGAUCCGCGUGCCGGUCUCUGGGGAGGUGCUCUCACGCCCAGGGAUGGUCACCAGCCCUCCGCGCGCCCUGCCGCUCCGUGCCGAUGCCGCACGACGCCGUCCUCUCUGCUGUGCUUCCUGGAGCGUCGGUUUUGACCAUGUUUGGGCCUAUUGGCUGCUCUUCCCAAAUGGGGUUAACCGGUUCGGGUCUUCGUGUUUCCGGCUGUUAGGAGACUCAGCAACACAGAUUUCUGUUGUAUCGCUUACGUCACAACCCCUUUUAUUUCUGAUUCUCAUGCUGGAUCUCUGAAUACAUCUUUCAUUUGAAAAUUGAAACAAACAAACAAAAAAAAAUUGAGGCGGCCCUUCAGAUCCCCCGUCCUUGGCCUUAGAUUUCCUGUAUUCGGUGACUUUUGCAUCCAACUAAACUCAACCCAGAGUUUACUUUUGAGACUUCAAAAAGUGCAUCCGUAAGGAUUCUCCACCCUGGUUAAAAAUUACCGUGAUUUUCUUGGUAUUUGAGAGGAUUUGUACCUUUUGCUUCAGGCUGCAAUUUAGUAUACAAUCUUCCCAGCAUAUGAAGCAGUUUUUCUUGCACAGGCUUGUUAAAUCAGUUUUUCAUCUUUUUAUUCCUUAGAGUAGAGAGGAAUAAACCGUCAUGACUAGGCUUUAUAGUACCUUUAUCACUUAAUACUUGAACAUGCUCAGCACUUUAAUUUUAAUAGGACUAAAUGGAAUAUGUAAGAUGCAAUGCUCACCAUUUAGCACCUCGCAUCACAGUAGACGUCUCAAACCUAAUCGUGAAAUCCCUGCACAUAAACGGCUAGAACGCAGCGUAUUUCCUUACUUCUGAAUUUUUAGGAUAGAGGUACGUGCCCCAGUUUUCUCUUCAUAUAUUUUAACCAUCGUGUUGCACAAAAACCAGUACAACCUUGUGUUUUGUUCCUUCACUACCCCCCCCCGCCCCCCCGCCCCGCCAUCCUUGGAUGGAAUCUCCAAUAGGUAUUCCUGGAACACAACAAUCUGCUGCCUGUAGUGCCGGGCAUCUCAUUUCGGUAAUUAGUGUUCAAUUCUGAGUUGUAGUCGAACCCUCCGACUUCGAGGUCUGAAGAUCGUCUUCCUCCGAGGGCCUGCUUCGGGCUGAAGCUUGCGGUGGGAGCGACUGAUAAAUGAAGCUUCAUGGUUUUUUUUUUUUUUUUU